UAGGGAAUCUUCGGCAAUGGACGAAAGUCUGACCGAGCAACGCCGCGUGAGUGAAGAAGGUUUUCGGAUCGUAAAACUCUGUUGUUAGAGAAGAACAAGGACGUUAGUAACUGAACGUCCCCUGACGGUAUCUAACCAGAAAGCCACGGCUAACUACGUGCCAGCAGCCGCGGUAAUACGUAGGUGGCAAGCGUUGUUCGGAUUUAUUGGGCGUAAAGCGAGCGCAGGCGGUUUCUUAAGUCUGAUGUGAAAGCCCCCGGCUCAACCGGGGAGGGUCAUUGGAAACUGGGAGACUUGAGUGCAGAAGAGGGGAGUGGAAUUCCAUGUGUAGCGGUGAAAUGCGUAGAUAUAUGGAGGAAAACCAGUGGCGAAGGCGGCUCUCUGGUCUGUAACUGACGCUGAGGCUCGAAAGCGUGGGGAGCAAACAGG
rnacentral:rRNA from 1 species